AUGGCCGUCUGCUCCGGAGGGCUCGUGGCGCCGCCCUUCGAUCUGGCCGCGAGUCGGCCGGGGAAGUUGGGUGCGGGGCCCUGGCCGCGCCCCGCGCGUGGCCCCGCGCGCGCGAUCCGCUGCUGCUGCUACGCCCGCCCGGACCCCACGCCGCCGCGGAGGCUGCUGCUGCUCUCCGCCAAGGCGUCUGCCGCGGCCUCGCCGGAGCGCGUCCACGGGAGCAAGCCCGCCGCCGCCGUCCGGGGACGCCGCCGCGUCGGCCUCACCGUCACACCCUCACUCCCAUUCCCCUCCUCUCGUUCUACAAGGCAGCCCAAGCAGAAAGAUUUCUAUCCACGGUGCACGCCGAGAGGGCCGGCUCCCCAGUCCCGCGACACCCCGCCCAAGAGAGACACUGGUAUUGCUAGUGAGAAGGAAUGGGGAAUCAACCUGCUCGAUGAAGCGGUCAAGGAGUCUGGCACCAACGAGGAUGGAAGCACCUGGUACAGGGAGAGUGGCGAGGAUCUCGGUGAGAACGGGUACCGUUGCCGCUGGGCUAGGAUGGGUGGACAGACCCAUGAUGGUUCCACUGAAUGGAAAGAGACUUGGUGGGAGAAAAGUGACUGGACUGGAUACAAAGAGCUAGGUGCUGAGAAAUCUGGGAAGAAUGCUGAGGGUGACUCUUGGUGGGAAAAGUGGAAAGAAGUUCUGCACCAAGACGAAUGGAGCAAUCUUGCAAGACUCGAGAAGAGCGCAGAGAAGCAAGCCAAAUCAGGGACAGAAAAUGCUGGGUGGUAUGAAAAAUGGUGGGAGAAAUAUGAUGCCAAGGGCUGGACAGAAAAAGGUGCGCAUAAAUACGGGAGGUUAAAUGAGCAGUCCUGGUGGGAGAGAUGGGGUGAACAUUACGAUGGUCGUGGCUCUGUAUUGAAAUGGACAGAUAAGUGGGCAGAGACAGACUUAGGCACCAGAUGGGGAGAUAAAUGGGAAGAGAAAUUCUUUGCUGGAAUUGGUUCACGACAAGGGGAGACAUGGCAUGCUUCUCCUGGCGGUGACCGCUGGUCCAGGACUUGGGGAGAAGAGCACUUCGGCAAUGGUAAAGUUCAUAAGUACGGGAAGAGCACAACCGGCGAGAGCUGGGAUUUAGUCGUCGACGAGGAGACAUACUACGAGGCGGACCCUCACUACGGGUGGGCGGACGUCGUUGGGGACUCGUCGCAGCUGCUGUCGAUACAGCCGGUGGAGAGGCCGCCUGGGGUGUUCCCGACCAUCGACUUCAGCUCGUCGCCCCCGCGCACGGAGGAGCCGCCCGGCAUGCCGCCUUCGUCCCUGGAGUGA
rnacentral:rRNA from 1 species